rnacentral:rRNA from 1 species
UACGUAGGGUGCAAGCGUUAAUCGGAAUUACUGGGCGUAAAGCGUGCGCAGGCGGUUUUGUAAGUCUGUCGUGAAAUCCUCGGGCUCAACCUGAGAAUUGCGAUGGAGACUGCAAGGCUAGAAUCUGGCAGAGGGGGGUAGAAUUCCACGUGUAGCAGUGAAAUGCGCAGAUAUCAGGAAGAACACCCGUGGCGAAGGCGGCUCUCUGGGACGGUA